GAUGAACGCUGGCGGCGUGCCUAAUAUAUGCAAGUCGAGCGAACGGACGAGAAGCUUGCUUCUCUGAUGUUAGCGGCGGACGGGUGAGUAACACGUGGAUAACCUACCUAUAAGACUGGGAUAACUUCGGGAAACCGGAGCUAAUACCGGAUAAUAUUUUGAACCGCAUGGUUCAAAAGUGAAAGACGGUCUUGCUGUCACUUAUGGAUGGAUCCGCGCUGCAUUAGCUAGUUGGUAAGGUAACGGCUUACCAAGGCAACGAUGCAUAGCCGACCUGAGAGGGUGAUCGGCCACACUGGAACUGAGACACGGUCCAGACUCCUACGGGAGGCAGCAGUAGGGAAUCUUCCGCAAUGGGCGAAAGCCUGACGGAGCAACGCCGCGUGAGUGAUGAAGGUCUUCGGAUCGUAAAACUCUGUUAUUAGGGAAGAACAUAUGUGUAAGUAACUGUGCACAUCUUGACGGUACCUAAUCAGAAAGCCACGGCUAACUACGUG
rnacentral:rRNA from 1 species